UUGGACAAUGGGCGCAAGCCUGAUCCAGCAAUGCCGCGUGCAGGAUGAAGGCCUUCGGGUUGUAAACUGCUUUUGUACGGAACGAAAAAGAUCUCUCUAAUACAGGGGGUGAAUGACGGUACCGUAAGAAUAAGCACCGGCUAACUACGUGCCAGCAGCCGCGGUAAUACGUAGGGUGCAAGCGUUAAUCGGAAUUACUGGGCGUAAAGCGUGAGCAGGCGGUUUUGUAAGACAGAGGUGAAAUCCCCGGGGUCAACCUUGGAACUGCCUUUGGGACUGCAAAGCUGGAGUGCGGCGGAGGGGGAUGGAAUUCCGCGUGUAGCUGUGAAAUGCGUAGAUAUGCGGAGGAACACCGAUGGCGAAGGCAAUCCCCUGGGCCUGCACUGACGCUCAUGCACGAAAGCGUGGGGAGCAAACA
rnacentral:rRNA from 1 species